AAAGUGCCGGGAUUAUAGGCGUGAGCCACCGCGCCCGGCCCAGGUUUCUCUUUUCUUAUAAGGCCACUAGUUCCAUUCCCAUGAUAACCCAUGAAUCCGUUAAUCUAUGAAUGGAUUAAUUCAUUCUUGGGGGCAAACACUUAUGACUCAAUCACCUUUAAAAUGGCCCAUGUCUCAAUACUGCUACAUUGGGGAUUAAACUUCAACAUGAAAUUUGGAGGGAACAAAAAUUCAAACCAUAGCAUCCAUAAUGGCUUGAAC